UGUGAAUGUCUGAUCGAUAAGAGGAGCUAUUCAGCGGAGAGCUGAAGCAAAAAUAAAAAGAGAUUUGUUCGAUUUCCCAUUUGCCGCCGUCCGCCCGUCGCCUGCUGCCAUCACGUCGUUUCAUGCAUCAAAAAUUUAAGUGCUCUUCUUACACCACGUUGCCACCACCACGCUGCCGCCACAUAUUGUCUGCCUCCGGUGUCGUUGUCGUCAUUUGCCACACCACGUUCCUUCCAGCCACCACGUUGUUCCCGCCAGCCACCACCAUCAUCACGCUAAAAUAAUUCCUGUGCCAUCACGUUGCCACCACCACGCUGCCGCCACAUCCGCCACAUUAUUGUCUUCCUCCGCUGUCGUCGUCAUUUGCCACACCACGUUCUAUCCAGACACCACGUUGCUCCCGCCAGCCGCCACCAAUCUUGCUAAAAUAAUUCCUGACUGUAAAGAUGCGGCAUUACUUUGGGCUCUGCAUGGAUACUUUGUACCUUUCCAAAAAGUUAUAAAAAAAGACACAGAUGGUAGGAAACACGUUAUACGACAUACCAUCAAGGACUCGCAGUAUUCAUUCGUUUGGAUAGGCAACACAAUUCAAGCUUAAGAAGACCAUAUUGCCUUCCUCAACAAAAUGGGUGAGAAUACCCACCCACCAAAUAAAAAAUGUAUGUAUGUACAAAUGCUCUAGUUUUGGUAAAUGAGAUCAUAAAAUUUCAAUUCUUAUAUUAUUUUGAUUCAAAUUUCCCUUAAUUUCACUUUUUAUAAUUUGUUUCACUUUCUUAUCUGAAGAUAAAUCUACAAAAUAAUGUAAUAAAAUUUUUCCUGCCAUUCAUUUGGUUUAUUUGAACAAUAAAAGAGUUAAUGUAAAUAUAAAUAUUUCUUUAAUUUAACCUUUAAGAUUUCAGAAAGGAGAAGAUUAGAGAUGAAAAACCGAAUGUACAGGUUUGUAAAAAUUGAACACGGCGAUUCACAUUAAUUUUUCUUUCUUUUUCACAGAUCUCGACCUAAUAAAUUUAGAAAGCUAAGCUUCCAUGACUUAUUUAUUUGUCAGUUGAUUUUUUUAAUUUCUUGACAGGAGAUUAAAAAUUCUUUGACAAAGAAAUAAGACUAUACGAAAUUUAACUUUUUAAAUUUAUUGAAAACAGUGCCUACGUUCUAUAACGCUUGCAUGGAAAUAAGUUGUAGAAAAACAAUUUGAAUCAAAAUGAAAUUUGUACAAAAAAAUUGAUUUCAUUCGAAUUCACAAUGUUUUUCGAGCACUUAUGACGGUGCAAGAGUUACGGAACGUAGGCCUGUGUUCAUAAAAUUAAUGAACGCGUUCGUUAAA